rnacentral:rRNA from 1 species
UCAGAUUGAACGCUGGCGGCAGGCCUAACACAUGCAAGUCGAGCGGUAGCACAGGAGAGCUUGCUCUCUGGGUGACGAGCGGCGGACGGGUGAGUAAUGUCUGGGAAACUGCCCGAUGGAGGGGGAUAACUACUGGAAACGGUAGCUAAUACCGCAUAACGUCUUCGGACCAAAGAGGGGGACCUUCGGGCCUCUUGCCAUCGGAUGUGCCCAGAUGGGAUUAGCUAGUAGGUGGGGUAAUGGCUCACCUAGGCGACGAUCCCUAGCUGGUCUGAGAGGAUGACCAGCCACACUGGAACUGAGACACGGUCCAGACUCCUACGGGAGGCAGCAGUGGGGAAUAUUGCACAAUGGGCGCAAGCCUGAUGCAGCCAUGCCGCGUGUAUGAAGAAGGCCUUCGGGUUGUAAAGUACUUUCAGCGAGGAGGAAGGCGUUGRGGUUAAUAACCGCAGCGAUUGACGUUACUCGCAGAAGAAGCACCGGCUAACUCCGUGCCAGCAGCCGCGGUAAUACGGAGGGUGCAAGCGUUAAUCGGAAUUACUGGGCGUAAAGCGCACGCAGGCGGUCUGUCAAGUCGGAUGUGAAAUCCCCGGGCUCAACCUGGGAACUGCAUUCGAAACUGGCAGGCUAGAGUCUUGUAGAGGGGGGUAGAAUUCCAGGUGUAGCGGUGAAAUGCGUAGAGAUCUGGAGGAAUACCGGUGGCGAAGGCGGCCCCCUGGACA